CGAGUUGUUUUGCCUCGUUACGUCGUUCAUCGGUUCUGUUGGUUUUGCUCUGAAUUGCGCGAAAGCCAGGUCUAAGAGCGUGUUCUUCGCGGUGUUCGGUGACGGGAUUUUCGUUGGUGCAGUUUUAUUUCUGGUGGCUGGAGUUGCAAUUGGUGCUUGGAUUCGCAGGCGGCAGUGGAAUCGAAUUUUUCCAGAGACAGCGAAGGGCG
rnacentral:misc_RNA from 1 species